rnacentral:rRNA from 1 species
GCUCAACCGUGGGGUGGCAUCCGAAACUGGCGGGCUUGAGUACAGGAGAGGAGAGUGGAAUUCCCGGUGUAGCGGUGGAAUGCGUAGAGAUCGGGAGGAACACCAGUGGCGAAGGGGGCUCUCUGGCCUGUAACUGACGCUGAGGCGCGAAAGCGUGGGUAGCGAACAGGAUUAGAUACCCUGGUAGUCCACGCCGUAAACGAUGAGUGCUAGGUGUUGGGGGUUUCCGCCCUCUGUGCCGAAGGUAACCCAAUAAGCACUCCGCCUGGGGAGUACGGCCGCAAGGCUGAAACUCAAAGGAAUUGACGGGGGCCCGCACAAGCGGUGGAGCAUGUGGUUUAAUUCGAAGCAACGCGAAGAACCUUACCAGGUCUUGACAUCCCGCUGAUCGGUGUAGAGAUAUGCCUUUCCUUCGGGACAGCGGUGACAGGUGGUGCAUGGUUGUCGUCAGCUCGUGUCGUGAGAUGUUGGGUUCAGUCCCGCAACGAGCGCAACCCUUGUCGUCAGUUGCCAGCACGUAAAGGUGGGCACUCUGGCGAGACGGCCGGUGAAAGCCGGAGGAAGGUGGGGAUGACGUCAAAUCAUCAUGCCCCUUAUGACCUGGGCUACACACGUGCUACAGUGGCCGGUACAACA